GAUGAACGCUAGCUACAGGCUUAACACAUGCAAGUCGAGGGGAAACGGCAUUAAGUGCUUGCACUUUUUGGACGUCGACCGGCGCACGGGUGAGUAACGCGUAUCCAACCUUCCCAUGACUAAGGGAUAACCUGCCGAAAGGCAGACUAAUACCUUAUGGUCUUCACUGACGGCAUCAGAUGUGAAGUAAAGAUUUAUCGGUUAUGGAUGGGGAUGCGUCUGAUUAGCUUGUUGGCGGGGUAACGGCCCACCAAGGCAACGAUCAGUAGGGGUUCUGAGAGGAAGGUCCCCCACAUUGGAACUGAGACACGGUCCAAACUCCUACGGGAGGCAGCAGUGAGGAAUAUUGGUCAAUGGGCGAGAGCCUGAACCAGCCAAGUAGCGUGCAGGAUGACGGCCCUAUGGGUUGUAAACUGCUUUUGUAUGGGGAUAAAGUCAAUCACGUGUGAUUGUUUACAGGUACCAUACGAAUAAGGACCGGCUAAUUCCGUG
rnacentral:rRNA from 1 species